rnacentral:rRNA from 1 species
AGGAAUAUUGGUCAAUGGACGAGAGUCUGAACCAGCCAAGUAGCGUGAAGGAUGACUGCCCUAUGGGUUGUAAACUUCUUUUAUACGGGAAUAAAGUGAGGCACGUGUACCUUUUUGUAUGUACCGUAUGAAUAAGGAUCGGCUAACUCCGUGCCAGCAGCCGCGGUAAUACGGAGGAUCCGAGCGUUAUCCGGAUUUAUUGGGUUUAAAGGGAGCGUAGGCGGACGCUUAAGUCAGUUGUGAAAGUUUGCGGCUCAACCGUAAAAUUGCAGUUGAUACUGGGUGUCUUGAGUACAGUAGAGGCAGGCGGAAUUCGUGGUGUAGCGGUGAAAUGCUUAGAUAUCACGAAGAACUCCGAUUGCGAAGGCAGCUUGCUGGACUGUAACUGACGCUGAUGCUCGAAAGUGUGGGUAUCAAACAGGAUUAGAUACCCUGGUAGUCCACACAGUAAACGAUGAAUACUCGCUGUUUGCGAUAUACAGUAAGCGGCCAAGCGAAAGCGUUAAGUAUUCCACCUGGGGAGUACGCCGGCAACGGUGAAACUCAAAGGAAUUGACGGGGGCCCGCACAAGCGGAGGAACAUGUGGUUUAAUUCGAUGAUACGCGAGGAACCUUACCCGGGCUUGAAUUGCAACUGAAUGAUGUGGAGACAUGUCAGCCGCAAGGCAGUUGUGAAGGUGCUGCAUGGUUGUCGUCAGCUCGUGCCGUGAGGUGUCGGCUUAAGUGCCAUAACGAGCGCAACCCUUAUCGAUAGUUACCAUCAGGUUAUGCUGGGGACUCUGUCGAGACUGCCGUCGUAAGAUGUGAGGAAGGUGGGGAUGACGUCAAAUCAGCACGGCCCUUACGUCCGGGGCUACACACGUGUUACAAUGGGGGGUACAGAAGGCAGCUACACGGCGACGUGAUGCUAAUCCCUAAAGCCUCUCUCAGUUCGGAUUGGAGUCUGCAACCCGACUCCAUGAAGCUGGAUUCGCUAGUAAUCGCGCAUCAGCCACGGCGCGGUGAAUACGUUCCCG